CCUUUAAAACAACUGCAACAAGAUAACGACGGAAUACAGCUUUAUCCGAGAAACACCCUGAUAUAACAAUCAACAUAUUAAGCGCCAAAAUAUAUGCAUUUAAAAAUGUAGGUUUCCGCUAAAGCCCAACUGGAAUAAACUAAACUUUCUAACUAAAAGUUCGAUUAACCCUUAGAUUUGGAAACUUUGUCCGUUAUUCUACUCGGAUAAAUCGACCUCAAGAUCAGAGUGGCUCAGCGUAGUUCUACUGUACUUCAUGAAAACAUAAUUGAUAAUAACAGCUGUGUGGUCAUUUAUAUGGUUUCUGAACUAGAAUGAAAUUGGCGCCCCCAGCCUAUGCGUCAAAUAUCAUCUAAACCAUAUUCUUAAGGCAUUUCUCGUCUCAUUCUAUUCACGCGCAUAGAGGAAGAAGUGUGCUGAAAAUGUGAAAUUGUUCAUCACUUUUCGCUUAGAUUAUCUAUCUAAUCUUGACGCCAUGUGACUUCAAACUGAUAAACAUAACCACCGACACCAUCCUGGAGGUCCAAACACUAUUCAACGCAAAAUGUUAUAACGCAAAAUAAACAAAUCCGAUUGUUGUU